ACGGCUCAGUAACACGUAGCUAACCUACUCUAUGGUCUGAAACAACCUCGGGAAACUGAGGCUAAUGUCAGAUAGGAGAUGUUUUCUGGAAUGAUUUAUCUCUCAAAGGAAACGCCGUAGGAUGGGGCUGCGGCUGAUUAGGUAGUUGGCGGGGUAAAUGCCCACCAAGCCGAUGAUCAGUAAGGGCCUUUAGCGAGGAAGCCCUGAGAGGGAGUCUGAGACACUAUUCCCAGCCCUACGGGGUGCAGCAGUCGGGAAAAUUUUGCAAUAUGCGCAAGCGUGACAGAGCAAGUCGGAGUGCUUUUCCGUAUUGGAAAAGCUUUUGUGAGAUGUAAAAAGUCUUACGAAUAAGGACUGGGCAAGACUGGUGCCAGCCGCCGCGGUAAUCCCAGCAGUCCAAGUCGCAGCCACAUUUGUUGGGUCUAAAACAUCCGUAGCUUGCCUUUCAAGUCUUUUGUGAAAUCUGGCCUCUUAAGGGUCGGGCGAGCAAAAGAUACUGUUAGGCUAGAGACCGGGAGACGUAAGGAGUACAGAUAGGGUAGCGGUAAAAUGUGUUGAUCCUAUCUGGACUAACAAUAGCGAAGGCACCUUACGAGAACGGAUCUGACAGUGAGGGAUGAAGGCUAGGGGCGCAAAGUGGAUUAGAUACCCAUGUAGUCCUAGCAGUAAACACUGCACACUAAACAUUAGGGCCUCUUCGAGAGGUUCUAGUGCUGAAGGGAAGCCGAAGAGUGUGCUACCUGGGAAGUAUAGUCGCAAGACCGAAACUUAAAGGAAUUGGCGGGGGAGCAC
rnacentral:rRNA from 1 species